rnacentral:rRNA from 1 species
AGAGUUUGAUCCUGGCUCAGAACGAACGCUGGCGGCAUGCCUAACACAUGCAAGUCGAACGAGACCUUCGGGUCUAGUGGCGCACGGGUGCGUAACGCGUGGGAAUCUGCCCUUGGGUGCGGAAUAACUUCCCGAAAGGGAUGCUAAUACCGCAUAAUGUCGCAAGACCAAAGAUUUAUCGCCCAAGGAUGAGCCCGCGUAAGAUUAGCUAGUUGGUGGGGUAAAAGCCUACCAAGGCGACGAUCUUUAGCUGGUCUGAGAGGAUGAUCAGCCACACUGGGACUGAGACACGGCCCAGACUCCUACGGGAGGCAGCAGUGGGGAAUAUUGGACAAUGGGCGAAAGCCUGAUCCAGCAAUGCCGCGUGAGUGAUGAAGGCCCUAGGGUUGUAAAGCUCUUUUACCCGGGAUGAUAAUGACAGUACCGGGAGAAUAAGCUCCGGCUAACUCCGUGCCAGCAGCCGCGGUAAUACGGAGGGAGCUAGCGUUGUUCGGAAUUACUGGGCGUAAAGCGCGCGUAGGCGGUUUUUUAAGUCAGAGGUGAAAGCCCGGGGCUCAACCCCGGAAUUGCCUUUGAAACUGGAAAACUUGAAUCUUGGAGAGGUCAGUGGAAUUCCGAGUGUAGAGGUGAAAUUCGUAGAUAUUCGGAAGAACACCAGUGGCGAAGGCGACUGACUGGACAAGUAUUGACGCUGAGGUGCGAAAGCGUG